CCUACGGGAGGCAGCAGUGAGGAAUAUUGGUCAAUGGACGAGAGUCUGAACCAGCCAAGUAGCGUGAAGGAUGACUGCCCUAUGGGUUGUAAACUUCUUUUAUAUGGGAAUAAAACGUUCCACGUGUGGGAUUUUGUAUGUACUAUGUGAAUAAGGAUCGGCUAACUCCGUGCCAGCAGCCGCGGUAAUACGGAGGAUCCGAGCGUUAUCCGGAUUUAUUGGGUUUAAAGGGAGCGUAGGUGGGUUGUUAAGUCAGUUGUGAAAGUGUGCGGCUCAACCGUAAAAUUGCAAUUGAGACUGGCAGUCUUGAGUACAGUAGAGGUGGGCAGAAUUCGUGGUGUAGCGGUGAAAUGCUUAGAUAUCACGAAGAACUCCGAUUGCGAAGGCAGUUCACUGGACUGCCACUGACACUGAGGCUCGAAAGUGUGGGUAUCAAACAGGAUUAGAUACCCCUGUAGUC
rnacentral:rRNA from 1 species